CACAAAAUGGCGCCGGCGGGGCCGCCACAGAGCGGCGGGGGCAGCGUCCCUGUGAGGGGACGGGAGCAGCCCGGGUUUGGCGCCAAUUCCGCCCGGCUCCGAAGUGGGGAAAAUCCCUCAAUCCCCUCACAUCGCGCCUGAGAGCCUGAGGCACGGCUGGGAAAUCCCUCAAUCCCCUCACACCGCGCCGGAGAGCCUGAGGCACGGCUGGGAAAUCCCUCAAUCCCCUCACACCGCGCCAGAGAGCCUGAGGCACGGCUGGGGUUGGUCUUCCCCUCGUGUCACAGCUCUGGCAGCCAGGCGCUUCACCCCCGGCGGCCCAGGAGUACUCUCGGUUUCCAUCCAGUCAAUGCCAAAAUGUCAAAGCAGUGAAAACAGGCCAUAAUAUUGUUCUUCUUGCAUCAAGUCACCUCAAAACAAAAAAAAGGUCAUAUUUAAGAAACUCAGACUUAAGGAGAUGUCAUCAGGGCCAUUCAAGCAUGUCCUGGGAAGAAGACACCACUUGGAAUUAAUGCAACUCUCUGAGAAGACAGCCCUUUUAAAAAAAACCCAAAAACAAGCCAAACCAACCUACAAAAAACAGCUGCUUUUCCAAAUGGAACAAGAUUUGCAGGGAAGAGUUGUAAGACUUUCUCAGAGCAGCUGAUACAAUUGUCAGACAGAACCAAGUCAGCCAUGGCAGUGGAUUUGGUGAGCUGAUAUCCCACCUUGAGCGCUUACACCAGCUGGAGUGCCAACAGCUGCCCCCAGGAAAAGGAGCUGCUGUCCCACUCCUGCAGCGGACUGAAGCCC
rnacentral:lncRNA from 1 species